rnacentral:lncRNA from 1 species
AGGUCUUCCUGUGCUGCUCCAGACAUUGGUACAUUUAUGAACAUUUAUUAUAUAGAUAUGUGACCUUAAAAUUCUUAUAACAAAACAUGCAUUUUAUAUCUCACUUUCCUUUAGUAAUGGCUCCUUUUGAAACAUUUAAGGGUUGUUGUUUUUGUUGAGCCACUUCCACUGAUAAUAGUAAUAAGAGUGCAUGAUUGGCUCAGAGGGAAAUAAAUUGUGCAAAAAGUUUUUUAAAAAGAAAAGGCAUGAUAAAAAAAGGAGUCUGAACAAUCCCAGAAUAAAGAGGCAGAAGUAGGGCAAUAAUGGCAGAUUGGUGAAUCCAUAAUGUGACUCAGGAGAAAGCAAGAAGAAGCAGCUCUGUAAAAUAAUGCUGAAGUAGACCCCAGUAAAAAAAGCAGUUAAGAAAUGCACUAGAAAUAGACAGUCCCAUGCUGUGCAUGUUCCAACCUGCUCUGAUGAACCUGAUUCUGUAAGAUUAUUAACUUUCAUCGCAAUUCACUUUCCAAACAGUCAUCUUCCAUGCCUGUUUUAGAUAUUCAAAUCCCUGAACCACUAGAAUUCUCUUUGGGUUGGUUUUGUUUGUUUAUCAGAUCAAAGGCAGUGGUUACAUUCUAAUGACUACAACACCUCAUUAUUUAUACAUAUGUAUUUUGGCUAUAUUGCUGAAUAACCACGUUCCAUGCAGCUGUGCCAUUUCAAGGCCGAUCGCUUUUCCAACUUGCAUAGUUAUUCCCAAAGGAGCCUGCAGCUCCCUUGCCCUGGAGGGGUCCCUGAGGCCUAAGAGAAGGGAAAUGAUUACAGGGUGUUUUCUCUUAUUAAAGGCUCCAGAAAAGCAGAUUAGUAGUGUGCCUCUGAAGGGUCUUUGAUCUCAGGCCUUGAAACUCUAUCACUCUGGUUACUGGUCCACAUCCUUUCUCUGGUCGCUGGGAUGAUAAUUUCCUGGGCUGAACAAGGGGUCUCUUUGUGGCUAGAGUUCUCCCAGCAACAUAUGUAUGUGAGGGAGACAGGCCCCAAGUUGAUGCCCACCCAACUGUAAACAAUGCCCUUCCUGUCAGGCACGAGACAGGCGCUGCCUACGCGCGGUUGGCAGGGCUGGACUAUAGGAAGAAAGCCUAUAUGAGGCGGCCCCAGAUAGUUCAUGCUCCCUACACAGGAUGGAGGACAUGAUAAUGUGUUUGAAUUACUUAGGACCAGCAGGCAAAAAUUCCAGGGCCUCAGAUGACAAAAGCUUCCAGUCUUUGCUGUAGGGAGCGCCACAGCCAUGCAUGACCUCAGCAUCGCCUAGAGCCUUGUCACGCUCAGUCAAGGAUGCCUUUGAGACGGGGUGUUUCAGGUGAGAACCUUGGUUUUGGAAGUGGGGCAAAAUGGCUCCUGCUACAAGCGCCUUAUCACUAGUGUUUCAGUCAGAGAAGCUCUCCUCACACCAGCCCUGCAUGAUUGCUCUUAAAGAGCAGGAACGUAAUGUCACAAUAUAGAGAAGGCACGGUUUCCUUCCAGUAAAUAAAUAAAUACGGUAAAUUCCUUUUUUUAAAAAAAAGUUAAAAGUUAAAUACUUUCUCACUGUACCACCCAAGCAAGGAACUGUUUAUGCAGCCUUAACAGAAAGAUCAGAACACAACCGAGGCUGAGGGCUCAUUCAGACUUCUUUAUGUGCCACACUUUCCAGAUACAGUUCUGCACUAUAAAGCUCUGUGUCUGAGUGGUCUUGGUUGGUUGGUUGGUUGGUUGGUUCCAGUGCUUCCCGGCAAAAACCUGACUGUUGUUUGUUUUGAUUCAGUGGUAAAAUGCAUGUUUUCCUGGGGAAAACACUGGAAAAACAUCAAAAGGCAAUCUGGAUGAGCCGAACUCUCCUUCUGUACAGAGAAAUGACAGCCCCCAUCCCAUGAUUCGAGAAUCUUGCUCCUUCCGUAAACAAAUAGAUAAAUAUAUACAUUUUUAUUUAGUGCAUUUUAUAUUCUCCCUUUCCAGUGCUACGGAGUACAGGUUUUUAAAACAUAAUAACGCAGUAGCAAAUGUAUACACAGCCAUUCCUUUCAGCAAGGCUACACCUUCACCCAUUAGGAUGCCCUGCUACAAGCGCAAGAUACGGGAUGCAGAGCAGCCUUCACCAAGCUGGUGCCCUCCAGGUAUUUUGGACUACAACUCCCAUCAGCCCCAGUCAGUGCAAAACACCUGGAGGGCACCAGGUUGGUGGAGGGUGAUGUCGAGUUAGCACAAGUAUAGUGCAAAAAAGGAAGCAGGGUGGUGAGUUUUGCUCGUUUUUGGCUUCCACAAAGGCCUCAAGGGAUGAACAAAAUGGUUACACUCCUGUGAGAUGCAGGUGCUUUAUUAUUAUUAUUGCGACGCGAGUGACUUUUAACAUGGGAAGCAGCCCUUUGUGCUAAGAAGAUUUUGCAAACCAAAUAAAGUUGGGCUUGGCUGCCAGUCCAGUGAGGAGGAAGAGGAAGAGAAGCAGCAGCCUUAGGCGGUAGAGGAGUCCUUCCCUUAAUUUGCCAGUGAAAUUUCCCAGGAAGCCAGCUUGGCUGUAGCUGGCAGCUAGGUAAUUUUAGAUCCAUGUCUUCAGGCUGUAGCUGGUCUGGAUGAAAUCCAUGAACUGUACAGUGCCGUCAGUGGCUGGUGGCCAUUUGGACUGGUGGGGCAGAAGUCAGGGAGGCCAAGAGUAGGUACAGCUGGAGCCAGUGAUAGGUGGAGCCAGCGCCAAUGGCAAAUAGCGCCAACCACCUGCUGAAUUCUACAACACCAAUGCUAAGGAAAAGAAAAGUGACAGCCAGGGCUGCCUCCUGGUCUGCUUGGAAGUAAGAAGGCAGGCAGGUGAGGUCUGGAUGAGGGCAGACUGGGGUUAGUGGGGCAGGGCCCCAUUUGUCCUAAUGCAGGGUUUCCCAAACUUGCGUCCCCAGCUGUUUUUGGACUACAACUCCCAGCAUCCCUAUCUAGCAGGACCACUGAUCAAGGAUGAUGGGAAUUGUAGUCCUACCCAAGUUUGGUGGACCCCGCCCUAAUGGAUUUGGGGCAGAUUUCUAAAAUAGGCCUUUUGUUUCCAUGUCUCUCUGUUCACCAAUUAUUUCUGCAGAGAAGUAACAUCUACACUGUGGUCCUCCAACUGAAGGAUGGGGAGAAGGCCCUGAGAAGAUGGGUACUGUAAGGCAUACCUUUCCCUGCAAGCUCGGAGGCUUGGAUUAGAUGAUCUCCAAUUUCCCUCCCAAAUCAGUGAUUCUGUGGCUGUAAGUUUUGGGUCUGGGCACAAGCCUGUUAAAGUGGUCAGACUGGUUGGGCAGGAGGUUACUUGAAUAGCCCUGGCAAGUAUCUCUUUAUUGUUAGGCAAAUUAGAGGAGAUGUGUUGCUGCAGGAACUAAAUAGCUGGCUGAUUGCUCUCAAUAAUCAGCGCUGCAUCACUAUACUAGUUUGCUAUGGAAGAAGCCAUGUUGCACAUCCAUGCAUCUUAUUGUAAGGAAACACAGCUGCCCCUAAGGCACCAUUAACCAUGGAGUGCAGCAAAUGCAAAAGACACCUGAUAGAUAGCCAUCUUUUGCUGGAUUUACAUAUUAUGGCCCCAAAAAACAAACACACCACACCCUGUGAGUUUUCAGCUUGCUCAGGUUACACAUAGACCUCAGAUAUCAUAGGAUGCUUUCAUCUAUUAGGGCCGAAACACAAGCCAAAUAUUUGCAGUCAUCUCAUGUUGCACGCUGACAUUUUAAGCUCUGGGGAGAUGCUUCCUUUCCUGCAUAAACCACAACCCUGCUUUUAGGAUAAAACCUUUGUUCAAGCCUUCCCCCACAGCAGGCAGAACGCAGCACAGCAGCCUUUUGCCAACCAGUUGUUUUGAACUACAACUCCCAUUAGCAUGGCUAUGCUGGCUGGAACUGAUGGGAGUUGUAGUCCAAAAGAUCUGGAGGGCACCAGGUUAGCAAAAGACUGCCAUACAGUGACUUCAGUAUGGCACUGUCCCCAGUAGACGGUCAUCCGGGGACAAUUGCACACUCUGACAGCACUGCCAUGAAUUAGUGGGAUGCUAUAUAUAAGCAGAUCUUUGUCGGGCUGCAAGAUGGGUCUGUUUCAUCCACAGGGAAGCCAGACCAUAGUAGCUAUCUAUGGAGAAAGUUAUAGGACUGAAAAAUACCACCCAAAAGCUAUAUUGCUCUUCCAAAGAAUGGUGUGUUGGAAGGUUAUAUACUUCCUUCAAAAUUUGCCAGAUCAAUUCAAAAGCAAUUGAAUGCUGCAACAUUCAGUUUAUCUAUCCAGUAGAGUAUACUUAUUAUGCAGCUAGUUCUCAUACUCUGUUAAGACCAUUUGCACAGAGCCAUCAUGGCUCUGUCAGUGCACAUCUCACAUGCUUCUCCAGUGAGAGUGGUGCAGAUUCACAGACCUUGAUAUGCCAAUUGUGAUAUGACCACCCAUUGCUUAGGACCAGGGUGGGGUGGGGUAUCUUUUUCAGCCCAUAGGCCACAUGUCCCCUUGGGCAACCUUCUCAGACCCUCCAAGUGUCCCUAUUUUUUAGGGACACCCCUAAUUUAGAGAAGCUGUCCCGGUUUCUGAUUUGAUCCCAGAAUGUCCCGCUUUUCCUUAGGACAUCCCUCUUUUCCCUGGAGAAAUGUUGGAGGGUAUGGAGUUAUCCAACCCCUGAGCCAUCUGAAGGCAAUCCUGUAUAGGGAAGAUUUUUUUUAAUGUAUCCUGUGACUGACACGCAGGUGUACAAAACCCUUGGUUUUUCUUGCUAUCAGUAGCUUCAGCCUCCAGCAUGCUUCCCACUCACCUCACCAAUUCCACUUUCUCUUAGCAGCUGGACUUAGCAUGGAGGACAUGCAGAUACAUUUUAACAGGGCCAGCCCUACCAUUAGACAGAGUGAAGCGGUGGAUGCUGGGAGGUAUAGAGAGCAUUGGCAGUUGUCUUCCUGUGCCAUUCCUCCUGAGCUUCCCAGGCCUUCCUCAGACAGAGCAGGGUGUUCUGUUUGGCCUGCCCUGCACACCCUAAACUAGCCUGCUGCCCUCAGGUGUGGUGGAAGAUGCUGUCCCCAUCACUGAUGUUGAAAUCAGGUCCAACUACCAGUCCAGACAGAUUCAGUAUGUGGAAGGGGUGGAGACACACCAUUUUCGCCUUCAUCUCUGGCAGCAAAACGGCUUCGGUCGCCCCCAGAAAUGAGACAUCAAAACUUUCCAUAGAAAGGGAAGUGAUGGGGAAUAUAUAACUGUGGAGAGCUUUUAAAUCUUGGUGUAAGGAGAGAGCAGUGAAAGGCUCCUUCUGAAAUGUGAGUGUUCAGGGAACUUUCCAUUCCCAGGAGAUUUGUGCAAUGAUGGUUGUCUCUUCUGUGGAAGAGGGAAAAUGUUGAAACAAGGGGUGUUUCCUAAGAACUGCACAUUCGCUAGAAAUGAUAUGCUUGAGAUAAGCUGAGGUAUCCCGAGGGCGUUUGACUUGGUGAGCACCUCAGCGGCUGUUCUGAAUAGACUUGGGGAAUAGCUGUAUCGCAAUCUUAUUUUGCUUCUCAGUCAGUUUGAUUAUCAUAGCCUUCCACCCCCCCUUCACAAAAAAAAACCCAACCAUGCUGGGAAUUGUAGUUUCAUAAGACGUGGGAAGAAUUCUUAGUUUAAAAUCCCUGGCUCCCUGUCCAGGGCACAUAGGCAUUAUAUAUUUAAAGCAGUAUGGUGCCAUUUUAAACCAUAAUGGCUUCCCCCCAAGAAUUCUGGGAGCUAUAGUUUGUUACGAGUGCUGAGAAUUGCUAAGAGAGAGACUGCUUUCCCACUCACGGAACUGCAAAUCUCAGAGUGGUUUAACAGUCAAUCUCUCUUCAUGAGGAGUUUGGGAAAUUGUAGCUCUGUGAAGGGAGUAGCAGUACAGUGGUACCUCGGGUUACAGACGCUUCAGGUUACACACUCCGCUAACCAAGAAAUAGUACCUCGGGUUAAGAACUUUGCUUCAGGAUGAGAACAGAAAUUGCACGGUGGCAGCGGGAGGCCCCAUUAGGUAAAGACGUACCUCAGGUUAAGAACAGUUUCAGCUUAAGAAUGGACCUCCAGAAUGAAUUAAGUUCUUAACCCGAGGUACCAGUGUAGUGUCCAGUGAGGCAGCAGAUGUGGAGCACCACUGCACUCUUGGCUUCCAAACGCAGCAUGUCACUGGUGCUUACAAAAGGGAGGGGGAGCUCCCUGCACCUCACACCUCCCUAUCUACCUUGAGUAAGCGGCUGUGAAACCUCUUUGGAAGCUGGGACAGCAGCAGCAACCCACCUCUGCUGCCUCACUGGCUGCUACAGGAGAACAUGAGGUCUCCUUACAUCUCACAGCACCCAAGGCAUUUUGGCACCUCCGCAAAGUGGUGCCACCCCUCCCUCGCCACCAGUAAAGAAGGACUGAGUGAAAAACUACAUCACGAUCAAGGAGGGGAAAGGGAUCUACAUCAAAAACAGAUGGGAGGAAACUAGCAGCACCUCCUUUUCACCAAAAGGCUUCUGUAGAGGCAGCAUGUGGGGUGCUGUUGCUGCUGCAGAUGGGGAGAUGGCAGAUCCAGCCUUCAAGGAGCAUGCCACAGCUGUUGAUGUUACUACCGUGGCAGCAGCAGCAGGCAGUGUAUUCCUUGGAAGCAAAAUCUGCUGCCCCUGUAGAUCCUGUGGAGUCCUGUGGAGCCAGUGUGGUGUAGUGGUUAGGAGCAGUAGCCUUGUAAUCUGGUGAACCAGGUUCGCAUCUAUGCUGUUGGGUGACCUUGGGCCAGUCACACUUCUCUGAAGUCUCUCAGCCCCACUCACCUCACAGAGUGUUUGUUGUGGGCGAGGAAGGGAAAGGAGAAUGUUAGCUGCUUUGAGACUCCUUUGGGUAGUGAUAAAGCGGGAUAUCAAAUCCAAACUACUCCUCCUCUUCUUCUUCUUCUUCUUCUUCUUCUUCUUCUUCUUCUUCCUGCCCCCUGAGGUGGUUUCUCACUUUGCCUCAUGGGUGAGCCAUCCUUGCUCAGCACCCUGAAACAAACUACAGCUCCCAGAAUUCUCUGGGCGCUCUCGUGGCUGUUUAAAGCGGCAUCGUUGUGCUUUAAAAGCAUGGUGUGGGGCUUUGUCAGCAUUUCCUGGGGGAAAGGAAUUCUUCUUUCAAGCUAGCACAAGCGUGCAGUGCAGAUAUGUGCCUGGCUGUGGAGAAAUGCAGAGGAAGGAUCACAUGCUGAAAAUAACAGACAUUUUGUACAGGCAACUGGGGACAGAGGAACAGGUUUGGGUUUUUGUUUUUUUAAAAAGAAACAGGUUCAAAUCAGGGACAUCUCAGACAGUUACAGACACUUGAGAGGUAAGUAUGUGGGAGUGGAGAGGACAAGUACACCAUGUAUGUGGACAACAAAUGAGUAGCAAUCAUAGGCGUAGAUGCAUAAACAUAAGGAGAGCAAUGCUUUGUGUUGAGGACAAGAAAGGAGGCAGUACAGAAGGAGUGUGUGCCUGUCUCUGCCCUGCAGGGUUUUCCAGUGCAUAUUUGUGCGCAUGGAUCAAGUGCAAAUAUCAUGGCCUGGCCAAUCUGAAACCCCCUUGGCUGCGUGCUAAAACGGCUUGAGCGCAACCUGCCUUUCUGUCUUGCCGCUGUCCCAUUGUCCCGAGCCUGCCUCUCUUACAUAAGGCAACCUCAUUGUUCCUGUUCGUAGAGCAACAAUACUGGAUCUGCUCCAUUUCUAAGCCACCACCAGAUACGCUGGGCUGGUGGUGGUGACUCAACCGCUCAGGCAUGCAGAGUUUCGUGAGCUGCCUGAGGUCACGUAACAGAAUCGCUGGCAUGCCACUGGUUUGCCUCCUCAAACCACUAGGCACCACUCCACCUCCAGAGCUUGAGAAGGCGGGGGAGGCUUGCUUGGCAAGAGGGGAAAACCUGUGGGUCCGGCGAUAACUCAGAACUCAGGAAUUCUGGCGAGCAAAGCAGACGUGACACAGGAAAUCCGCUGCUGAGUCUCCUGAUUUUGCUUUUAAAAUUUACCAUGAAAGCAAGGGAGGCUGGUCCAUUAGGGUGAAUGGGGACUGUCUCAGCUCCCUCGGUCUACCUCCAGCCAGCCCCCACCUGCAUGCCUCCCUGCUCACAUGGGGGGGGCAGGGGGCAGCACUGCCAAUCAGCUUCCUCCUCCUUAGUCUCAGUGCUGCCCCCCUAGAACUAAGCAGGGAGGAAGAUGGGGGUGAAACUAGAAUUAGUUGCCUCUGCCUGUCAUUGGAUUUCCCUCCACUUACCAGGGGUCAGCAAACUUUUUCAGCAGGGGGCUGGUCCACUGUCCCUCAGACCUUGUGGGGGGCCAGACUAUAUUCUGAAAAGAAAAAAAAAGAACGAAUUCCUAUGCCCCACAAAUAACCCAGAGAUGCAUUUUAAAUAAAAGCACACAUUCUACUCAUGUAAACACACCAGGCAGGCCCCACAAAUAACUCAGAGAUGUAUUUUAAAUAAAAAGGCACAUUCUACUCAGUAAAAACACACUGAUUCCCAGACCAUCCACAGGCUGGAUUUAGAAGGUGAUUAGGCUGGAUCCGGCCCCCAGGCCUUAGUUUGCCUACCCAUGACUUAGACCAGUGGGCUCCCUGUCUUCUGCCCUACCAGUCCCAAGGGGCAUCAGACACCACGACUUUAUAGUAGCUUAAGUUUUGAUCAGAAAAGCAGUGCUAGAGGGAGGGGGAAUUUAACACUCCUUAGUGGUCUUUUCCCAAUCUCAUCCCCUUGCCCUGGCCCUGAAGUUACUAUUUAUCCAAGAAGGAAAAUACACAGGAACCUGUAUCAUAUUUGUACUCCCCAUUGCUCAGCUAAUUACAGUUUGAGAGGGGAGUGUUAGACUGGGAAAGCAGCAGAGUGGGGAGGGGUAAAAACCCUCUUCCCCAGGGUCAUUCUCUGCUGCACUGGCCCAAGAGAAUGGGAAAAGCUCUGGCCUCAAACCUUGAAGAGCCACUGACAGUCAGUGCUGGCAGUCCUGAGCCAGAUGGUCUGAGUUGGUACAGUGUACGGCAGCUUCUUAUGUGCCUGUGCUGGUGUCCUGCCCACUUCCCGUGUUCAGAAGCUGACUCUUACUUCAAUAGUCGCACUGGGAUAGUGUAGUUGACUACACCUGUGGGCAACAGGCUAGUUAGCUUGGGAGAUGCAAGUGGCACACUCCUAUCUCUCUCUUUCAUUAUCCCAUGGCCACUCCCUGCUCCACAGCAUCUGCUGCCUGAGGCAGCCUCCUCACUCCUCCUAAUAGUAGGGCCAGCUCUUUUACGCUGAUAAAAAUGGGAGAUCCUAUCUCAGAUCUCCUGCAUGGAAUCUACUUUGGCCUUAGGUUUCUUUUUAUUAUUUACUAAAUUCAUGUGCUACCCUUCAUCCGAAGAUCACGGGACGGUUUACAACAUAGAUCCAGGUACAUCAUCGGAUGCUGUUAGGAUUAGCAGUUGAAAAUUGAUUAUGAAAUAAUAUGCAGUUGAAAAUGUUGACAAUAGGACCCAUGGAGGGGAGGUGGGAAGUCCAGAGAUUUGGAGAAAUAUGGAUAUGUAUUUUGUAAAGCCCUAAACGGCCUCAGCCCAGUAUACCUGAUAGAGCGUCUCCACGCCCAUCAUUCUGCCCAGACACCGAGGUCCAGCGCCGAGGGCCUUCUGGCGGUUCCCUCACUGUGAGAAGUGGGGUUACAGGGAACCAGGCAGAGGGCCUUCUCGGUGGUGGUGCCCAUCCUGUGGAAUUCCCUCCCAUCAGAUGUCAAGGAAAUAAACAACUAUCUGACUUUUAGAAGGCAUCUGAAAGCAGCCCUGUUUAGGGAAGUUUUUAAUGUUUGAAGUUUUAUUCUGUUUAAUAGUCUGUUGGGAGCCUCCCAGAGUGGCUAAGGAAACCCAGCCAGAUGGGCAGGACAUAAAUAAUAAGUUGUUGUUGUUGUUGUUAUAAUUCUAUAUUUGUAAAAACAAAUAACAAUUAUUAUUUUUAAAAGGAUUAGCAGGUGAAAAUGAUCUAUCCAGAGAUAAUGCCUGCAGCUGGGCUAGCAAGACAGUAAGAAGCAGCUGCAGCUCUUGUCUUGGUACUCAAAGGCUCGGUUAACCCCACCUUCUUCUCCUACUGCCGUAAAGUGAAAGUAAAAUCUUGCUUGUUAUAGCAAGGAGUCAGAAGGCGCUGGGCUGGUGAAUAGCAGAACUGUUGCAGACCUCUUGCCCUUAUAUGAGCAUAAUCUCUGGGUUUAGAGAGGCUGGCAACACUUAGCACAUAUUGUUAUUUGAAGUUGGCCCUAUUGCUCUAAUCUGGGCUCCCUGGAUCUUGAUUUCCCUGCAAUUUCUGAACUCAAGACUGGGUGUGUGUGUUUCACAUGUCACAAUCAAGAUGCGUGUAGUCUGUAUACCUCUGUUCACAAAUAGCUGUUGAGAGGACACAGAAAGCUGCCGUAUACUGAGUCAGACCCUUUGUCCAUCUAGCUCAGGAUUGCCCACACUGAUCCGCAGUGUCUCUCCAGGCUUUCAGACUGAGGAUAUUCCCAGCCCCACCUGGAGAGGCCAGGGAUUGAACCUGCGACCUUCUGCAUGCAAAGCAGAUUAUCUACCACUGAGCCACAUCCCUUCCUACAUGCAUCCACCUGGAACAUUCAAUGAGUGCACGGUCUGUGUGCACAAUAGUUGAACUGUACAAAUCAACAAGCGUACACUCUUUUAUACAAACAGUUAGACAUGUGUAGAAACAGCUUGUACCCGUGUUCAGUGUAACAUGAGAACAACCAGGCUAUGAGAAUGAUUUGACACCUACCAAUCUGCUCCAGAAAGACAAGGAGAAAUGGUCUCACCACGAGACCGAGAAGGGGCUUGUUUGCCCUGCUCCCCUGAACAGAACUAAGCUUUACACGUCAACACAUAUAUCAAAAUGAGGAUAGAGAGAAAAGCCACUACAGGAGAAGAUUGUUUGGAGCAGAGAGACUUUAGGAGGAAGAAACUGUGCUUAGUCUUUCUCCCACCAACUGCUUCUCCAAUGGAACUCCUCUCCCAGGUUGCUCCCCUCCUCCCUCCUUCCCUCGUCCCGAAUGCAUGUGCGCAACAGCAAACAUAAAUCAGGAAUCCCAUGCACAGAGUCACAAUGGAAGAGUACUGUAAUCUGAGUGAUAUUUGCUGCUGUCUUUCUACAUUUCAUUGUUGAUCUUUCCUACUGCAAGCAUUUUUAAUUUGCUCUUUAUUCACCACAAGAACUUGGUUAUAGGGCAGCAUGUAAAUACCUAAAACAAAUAAAAGGAGUGGUGAGCACUGGAACGUUUAAGGAGUUUUAAGAACCCCGACUGCAUGCUGCUUCUGAUCUACAAAUCCCCCUCCAAGUGGGGCUUUUGCCUAACCAAAGUGCCGAUUGGGUUUUGCUUUGGUUUUUUCCUGCUUGCUUCUUUAUUCAGAGACAGCAGCCACCCCUUGAAAAGCCUUUUAGUUGGAGCUCUCUUCUCUCUUGGGCCAGCUCUACAGACAGCAUUUAUAUCCUCAGUUCCCAGAUUGAGAGAUACCAGGGACAAGGGUGGCGCUGUGGCCUAAACCACAGAGUCUAGGGCUUGCCGAUUGGAUGAGCGCCCAUUGCUCAGUCCCUGCUCCUGCCCACCUAGCAGUUUGAAAGCACAUCAAGUGCAAGUAGAUAAAUAGGUACCACUCCGGCGGGAAGGUAAACGGUGUUUCCGUGUGCUGCUCUGGUUCGCCAGAAGCAGCUUAGUCAUGCUGGCCACAUGACCCGGAAGCUGUCUGCAGACAAAUGCAAGCUCCCUUGGCCUGUAGAGCGAGAUGAGUGCACAACCCCAGAGUCGUAACCUAACGGUCAGGGGUACCAUUACCUUUACCUUUAAGGCAUUCCUAGUCAUAGUUUCCCCCUUUCUACCAGUUCCAAGUAAGUUGCUAACUCUCCCACAUAGAGGAUACUAUGUUUUAGAAUAGCAGUUAAGAAUCUUCUACUGGUAGAUUUCUGGAUAUUUUGCGAUUGAUCAAGCAAGGGGUUCUGGCAGUUUAAGUAAGUAGAAUUAGCAAGUAGAACUGGCAAUUUAAGGUCUGCUGAAUUAGGUCAAAACCUCACCUAGUCUAGCACCUAGAUGCCUAUGGGAAGGCUGCAAGCACUCUCCCUAAUUCUGCUCUUAGCAACUGGUAUACAGAUUCAUAUUGCCUCCAACAGUGGUGGAAAAACAUUGUUAUCGAGGGGAUUCCUGAUACAACAGAAUGUAGUAAAGAAAAAAACACAAAAUGAGAAAAAAGACAAGAUUUUGGACAAAAUAAAAGAAUUAGAGAAGAAAUUAAGAGUGAAUCCAAAGUCACAGCCAACUCUGAGAGAAAUUAAACUGUAUCAAACACAAUAUUCUAAAUUGAUAAAUCAGGAAAUUGAAUGGAAGAUUAAAUUAAUGAAACAAACCACGGGUGAGUCGGCGAAUAAAUGUGGAAAACUGCUAUCCUGGCAGUUGAAGAGAAGACAAAGAUUAAAUACGGUUACAAAUUUAGAGGUUGAUGGAAGAAACAUUCAGAAUCCAGUGGACAUUAGAAAGUGUUUCCAGAGAUAUUUUAAAAAACUAUAUACCCAAGGGCCGCAAGACGAAGUUGAGAUUAAACAAUUUUUGGCAAAAAAUGGAUUAUCUAAACUGUCACAAGAAAAUAGGACAAUCCUGAACUCUAAAAUAACACGACAGGAGAUUGAACAAGCUAUUCAGAACAUGCAACUUGGCAAAUCUCCAGGGCCAGACGGGCUGACCUCCAAGUAUUACAAGACACUAAAAGACUAUUUGAUACAACCUUUGAUGGAGGUUAGCAAUGAAAUUAUGGAGGGAAGAAGGCACCGGAUUCGUGGAAGGAAGCGUUUAUCACAUUGAUACCAAAGUCAGAAACUGAAAAGACACAACUGAAGAACUACCGUCCCAUCUCCCUUUUAAAUGUGGAUUACAAAAUAUUUGCAGAUAUUUUGGCAAGUAGAUUUAAAAAAGUUUUAAAUGAAGUAAUUCAUAAGGACCAGGCCGGUUUUCUCCCAGGUAGACAUUUGUUUGCUAACACAAGGAACAUUAUUGACAUCUUGGAACUUCUCCAAACUGACAUAAACACAAAAGCAGUUUUAAUUUUUAUAGAUGCGGAGAAGGCCUUUGAUAACAUUUCUUGGAAAUUUAUGAUGGGAAACUUAAAAGAGAUGGGAGUGGGACGGGGUUUUGAGAAUGGGAUUGAGGCGAUAUAUUCAGAACAGAAAGCAAAACUGAUAGUUAAUAAUGUGGUUACAGAAGAGUUCAAAAUUGAAAAAGGGACACGACAAGGUUGCCCUAUCUCCCCUUUGUUAUUUAUUUCGGUCCUGGAAGUGCUAUUGAACAUGAUUAGAGGGGACCAGUUGGUGGAAGGAAUUCAGGUUGGUCAGAAACAAUAUAAACUAAAAGCUUUUGCAGAUGACCUGGUUUUGACCUUGCAGAAGCCAGAGCCUAGUACGAAAAGAGUAUUACAAUUGAUUAAUGACUUUGGUCGGGUGGCGGGAUUUAAAUUAAACAAACAGAAAACCAAGGUUUUGGGAAAAAAUUUGACUGAGACAGAGUCAGAACGGUUUCAGAAUGAGACGGAACUUAAUGUGGUUAAAAAAGUAAAAUACCUAGGGGUAAACAUAACAGCAAAAAAUCUAAGUCUAUUUAAGGACAAUUAUGAAAAAUGUUGGACAGAAAUCAAGAGAGACUUAGACAGUUGGUCAAAAUUGAAACUUUCUUUGUUAGGCCGAAUUGCUGCGAUUAAGAUGAAUGUAUUGCCAAGAAUGUUGUUUUUAUUUCAAACACUUCAGGUUUUGGACAAAAUGGAGUGCUUUCAGAAGUGGCAGAGAGACAUUUCGAAGUUUGUCUGGCAGGGCAAAAAGCCCAGAAUUAAGUUUAAGAUACUAACUGAUGCAAAACAAAGAGGGGCUUUGCCCUGCCGGACUUAAAGUUGUAUUACGAAGCCGCAGCGUUCUGCUGGCUAAAAGAUUGGCUACUUCUUGAAGACACUGAUGUGUUAGAUUUGGAGGGGUUUAACAAUGUUUUUGGAUGGCAUGCAUAUUUAUGGUAUGACAAAGUUAAAGCAAAUAAGGCCUUUAAGAACCAUAUUGUUAGAAAAUCACUGUUUAAUGUCUGGACAAAAUAUAAAGACUUGCUGGAAAAUAAAACACCAAGGUGGCUUUCACCUUUGGAAGCUAAGGCCCGAAAAGACCCAAUAUGGAGGCCAAAUGGCCAAAAUAUUGGGAAAUACUAGAAAAGAUGGAGACAAUUGGAAAUUGCAGAGUUUGGAGAAAAUGAAAGACAAAGUGCGAGAUUGGUUACACUAUGCUCAGAUUAAAGAAGUUUUUAAAAAUGAUAAGAAACUAGGGUUCCAGGUGGAGAAAUCGAAAUUAGAAACAGAAUUGCUAGAACCAAAGAGUAAGAUACUUUCAAGGAUGUAUAACUUGCUGUUGGAAUGGAAUACACAAGAUGAAAUGGUUAAAUCGGCUAUGAUAAGGUGGGCACAGGAUAUUGGGCAUAAUAUUAUGUUUGAGGACUGGGAAAGGUUGUGGAGUAAUGGAUUGAAAUUUACUGCAUGUAAUGCUUUGAAAGAAAAUGUAAUGAAAAUGAUUUAUAGAUGGUAUAUGACCCCAGUCAAACUCGCAAAAAUUUACCACCUGUCUGAUAACAAGUGCUGGAAAUGUAAAGAGUGUGAAGGAACGUUCUUUCACCUCUGGUGGACCUGCCCUAAAGUGAAGGCGUUCUGGGAAAUGAUCUAUAAUGAAUUGAAAAAGGUAUUUAAAUAUACUUUCACUAAGAAACCAGAGGCUUUCCUUUUGGGUAUUGUCAGCCAAGGGGUGGCAAAGAAGGACCAGACAUUUUUUAUGUAUGCAACAACAGCAGCAAGGAUACUACUCGCAAAACAUUGGAAAACUCAAGAUCUACCCACACUGGAAGAAUGGCAGAUGCAACUGAUAGACUAUAUGCAACUGGCUGAAAUGACUGGCAGAAUCCGUGACCUGGGAGAAGAGAGAAUCGAGGAGGAUUGGAAGAAAUUUAAGAACUACCUACAAAAACAUUGUGAUUUGACUGAAUGCUGAAUAAGAUGCUAGACUAAAUAACUGAGCACCACUUAACUUAGAAGUUUUUAAGAAAAUAAGAAAAACUGUGAAAGUUUAACUCUCUAUGAGAACUAUAAGAUUAUGAAAUAUCGAAGAGAUAUAAGAAUUUAAAUAAGAUGAUAAAUUGCUGACAAAAUGUUAUAAUGAUGAAGGUGGGAGCGGGAGAUGUGAGGAAGUCCAAAGAAAAUGUGAAAUUAUGUUAAGACGAAUGUUAUAUUGUUUAUUACAUUUAUUCCUAUUGUAAAAUCCAAUAAAUUGCUUUAAAAAAAAAAGGAAAAACAUUGUUAUCAUGGCUAGAGUAACCAUUGUUUAGGGAAGUUUUAAAAUAUUUAAUGCUGUACUGUUUUUAACACUCGAUUGGGAGCCGCCCAGAGUGGGUGGGGAAACUCAGCCAGAUGGGCAGCGUAUAAAUAAUAAAUUGUUGUUGUUGUUGUUGUUGUUGUUGGCAUACCUACCAAGUGCCCCAGAAAAGGGACAUUCCAUUUUUUCAUGUGAGAUCACAGCGGCUGCAAACUCUCACACAAACCCUGAAAAGCACUUUUUCAGGGUGGGAUCGCAGUGUGGGUCACGUGAUGUGCAUCCUGGUUUUAGAUCUGAAAAAGUGCUAGACUUUUUCUCCAGGAGGAGACUGGAGUUGUGGGGGACUGCCAGACUUGGAGGAACUUUGAAACAUGACUGGAAAUAUCUUUUGAAUUUCAGUUCUAACUAUGGGGAUUUGGCUGACUUAUUGAGAAGGAAUAAAAGUAAGAGGGGAAGGAUUUGCUGAACCAACAAACUGAACUGGAAUACAAAAAAGGGAGGCGUGAGGAGGUCCAGGAAAUAAGCUAAUGAAAAAUAAGCAAUGGAAAGAUUGUGUUGUUUUUAAUUAUUUUUAUUUUGUAUUUUUCUUUUUUUUCUUUUGUAAUAUUUUGAAAAUCUUAAUAAAUAUCUUACAAAAAAAAAAAAGGAAUAAAAGCAUUGCUAGAUGGGAAUUUCCCGGAGAUCUACUUUUCAGCAUCAAAGGAAGGAAAAUAAGAACAAGAUCAGGAGAAGACAAAGUAAAGUGCAUGUAUAAAUAUGAAGAAGACUUGCAGAAGGGACCUGGAAAAGAGUUAAGAGCCUCGGACAGAAGAUCACCAGGUUGAUGGGCUAUAUGGAAUUGACGGAAAUGACUGGCAGAACCCGAGACCAGGGAGAAGAGACGGUGGAAAAAUAUUGGAAAAAGUUUAAAAUCUAUAUAUGGAAAUAAUGUAAAAUUAAUGAGUGUUAGAAAAAUGUUGGAAGGGAAUUAUACGGCUUUAGUAGAAAUAUUUUAAGGAAUUAAGUAUAAAUAAGUAUUAUAGUAUUAAUGGAAAAUAAGGUUAAAAUAUGUUAAGAUAAUUACAUGACAGAAAAUAGAGAAAGAUGGAAAGGAUUUGCUGAAACAAUUAAUAGAAAUGGAAUACAAAAAGGGAGGUGAGAGGAGGUCGAUGAAACAAGGGAAUGAAAGAGAGGAUAUUGAGAUGGUAUGAUGUGUGUUUUUUGAAUUGUUUUUGCUUUUGUUUUGUAUAAUGUGUUAAUGUUAAUGUUGCGUUUUGUAUUGUUUAUAUAUUGUAUUGUAUUGUAUUGUUUUCUCUUUUGCUUUUUUCCCCUUCUUCUUUUUUUUCUUUUCUUUUCUUCUUUUUGUAAGGUUUAAAAGCAAUAAAUAUCAUUUUUUUAAAAAAAAAGAAAAAGAAAAAGUGCUAGACUUAUCCUUCAUGAACUUCUUCAAUCCUCUUUUACAGCCAUCCAAGUUGUUGACCACUGCUGCAUCUCACGCACUAUUGCUGCAUUCCGCACGAUGUGAAGAAGGCCUUUCUUUUGUCCAUACUGAAUCUUGUUUUUGAAAAGGUUCUCUGCCGUGGCUCACUGCUCCUCACCUAUAAAAUAUCAGUAUCGAUUCGUUGCCUUUGAGUAGCUGUGCUGGCCACUUUGAGAAUUGUGGUUUUGAUUCCCUGAUCUAUAGUAACUCAGAUGUAGAUUUUGUAUUUGUACAUUCAGUCUAUGCCUCAUGGGGUACAAUAGGUCAUUGACUUCCCCCUCCCUACAUACACUGUUUUGGCACCAGCUGUGAUUAGUGGUCAUCUGGGGUUCUUGCAAGAAACUAAAGCAGAUCUCACAAGCCCAAAGUCUGGUCCCAGCCCCAUUUUAUAAUUCCAUUGUUGACUUUGUGGGAGAAAGCUGCUCCUGCAUAUGCUGAAACAGCAAGCUGCGGUGUCUGCUGUAGUCAAAAGCAGUCUUCUGUCGACGCAGAAGUAUGGGAAACCCAGGCAGGGGUAGCAAGUGGGGAGCUGGAAGAGGAGGAGGAUGGGCCUGGUUAAGCUAUAGUGUGGAGGCAGGGUGAGGGCUUUCGGUUACUCAGCCCCAUGUCACACAGCAGUUUCAUCCAACACUGACCUCAGCUUGCAUAAUGUGUUUAUUCUGUAGCUGCUUUGCAUUCUGCCGGCAGCUGGUGCAAUCCAAGUCACUGGAUUCAGUGCGGCUGUAAAGUCCUGCCUCCCUGGCAGCCAAGCACAAGUACAGAUGACCCACUGACCUCUCUUUCCAGGUUGCUGGUCACAGAGCUCUAGACUGGAGUAUUUCAGCCGAGACUUGUUUUCCAGACUUGGCUCAACUGUAAUUGGCAAUGCUCUUUACACCAGAUUCACAAGCUGGUGGGGGAGAAAGCAUUUAAGACUGAAUUGCUGCUGUCUAGCAAUGAGAGGCAUGCUAACACCCAAAAGAAACCACUCCAUAUUUCUUCUCUGGUUUUGGAAAGACACCCACGUAUGGAUUCUGAUUUAUUUAAAUUUAACUAUUUCCCCGCCCUGCUUAAAAAAACACCCCCAUGAUGAUUAAUCUGCAGCGUAUUAAAAAGAGUCCUUUAGCACCCUCAAAAGUGCAAUCCUAUGCAUGUUUACUUGGAAAGAAGUCCAAGUGUGUUCAAUGGCACUUAGUCCCUAAGAAGUAUGCUUAGAAUUGCAGCCUAAGGGGUUUAUUGUGGUUUUCACUGAUCAUAUGCUAGAAUAAAUAUAUUAAGUGCCAAAGGACUCAUGUUUGUCUUUUCUGCAACAGAUAAUCACAGAAACCACUCAGGAAUCCAUCAGUUUGGACAAGCAGCCAAUUAUCCAAGUUUUAACCAUGCCACUAUUUUGUUGUAAUCUUAACUGAAUGGACUGGAAAUGCAAAACACAUGUAUAAGACAUCCUUUGCCAACCUGGUGCUCUCCUGAGGCUGAUGGGAAUUGUAGUCUGAACCACCUGGAGGGUACCAGGUUGGCAAAGGCUGACACACCACCACACUCAAGGCACAGUCCAUAUCCUUGGUGCUACCUGUUUCACAAGCUUAUGGUGUGAUUGCACCACCCAGUUCCUUUCAAGGAAAAGGAGGGACAAACUAUUUUCAUUGACUGUCCUUGCUAUGCGAGUUGCGCCACCAAGGAGCAAAAUAAGAAUUGUUUCUGAGUAAACACUACUCCAAAACAGCAGGUUUUGUCUUGUUUGAUACGAGAGACUGAAGCUCUUUCCAGUCUCUGCCCUGAGAAAGAGCUAUAAACUUAUUCUGGGCAAUGCAUCUGGCGCUAAUGCGUCCUAGGAACAUUAGAGAUGCAUACACUUUUAAAAACCAUUUUAAUCAUGCCAUCUUUUCCCUCAGAAACCCAGGAAUUGUGGUUUGGUGAAGAUGCAGAGAACUCUAUGAUAUUCCUAGCCUGGGCUAGUGAAUCUGUGAUGGUCCAAAUGUUGCCGGACUACAAUUCCCAUGUUGGCUAGGGCAGAUAGAGGUUGGAAUGAAUUCUGAGGCUGGAUUCAACUAGCCUGUACCACUAGCCAAAGCCAGCACAAGGCUUUUCCCUCUCCUGCUGUGCUGCAGCUCCCCCCAAUCCACUCUGGACGGUCAGUAGAACCCCCAGAACAGUGGGGUGGCCGUGGCAAGAGGGAAGAUUGCUCCCAGCAGGCAAGCAUAAAUGGGGGAGAGGAAGGGAAGGAUUCAAUGCUUACAAAUCAUAGAACUGUAGAGUUGAAAGGGACCCUGAGAAUAAUCUAGUCCAACGCCCUGCAAUGCAGGAAUACGCAGCUGCCCUAUACGGGGAUCAAACCUGCAACCUUGGCAUUAUCAGGACCACACUCUAACCAACUGAGCUAUCCAGGUGCUUGCACUGACGAAACUAUCUCGUUAGUGCUAUGUUGUAUUCCACCCCCGGAAUGCCCCUGCCCUAGCGCCCAUCCCAGAACUACAGUUCCCAGGAUUCCUGGGGGGAAAGGGGAUGACUGCUGAACACAGUUAAUAGCCAUUAUGAAUAUGCAAGUCUCCAAAUAAGAUCAGGAUCCUUCUGAGCGAUUGUACUGACCCAGAUGAAACCAGUCCCUGUACCAAAAAGCUGGCAACUUCAGCACCUAUUGUUGAGAGGGAAGAUCAACCUUCCUUUACAACACAGAAAUUGAAUCCCAGGGAUGUUCCAAUCCAAACGACCACUACUGGCCAGGAGAAGAACUGGUUUCAGUCUUACUCCAUAUGCACUGCAUACCCAGCAUCAAGUUACUAGGGGGCUGCUAUGAGGCAAGGAAUGAGUGCAUCACCACUCCAGUUCCAUGUAUUUACAGGGUCCAUACGCUAUCUGUUCUAUUAACAGUGCAUUGACCUAUUACGUGUGUGUGUGUGUGUGUGCGCGCGCGCCACCCAGUCCUGGCUCCUGAAAAGUAUACAAGCUCAGUUUUAUUGUCCUUCCAACUUUUAUUGCUGGCUCCUUGGUUACAAAACUCAGUUUGUUUUGCAGCCUGCUAAGUAGCUGGACCGCUGACAUUACAGGCGGCAGCCAGCACCUGGGACUUUUAUCAGUGUGUCCCUCACAUGCACACUUGAAAAGCCCAGGUCCCAUCAGUUUGCCUUGCAGCUCAUUCUGUUUGAUACCAGAGAGGCUCCUCAGUCCACGCUUUGGACUCUUACUUACAGGAUAUUUAGUUCAAAACAGAACUAGCCAAGCUAUCUCUCUUGGUCACUACUAGCGGUUGUUUGGCUCUGAGUUCCCAUUCUCUAAUGAGGAAAAGCCUGCAAUCUGAAGAGUUUGUUUGUUCAUGUUAUUAUGCACAAACCCUCCAGGUCUUGGCAUACGGUACUUGGCACAGGGAAACAUAUGAUACGUCUUGUAGAUUGAGUGAACUGAGGGGUUCAUAGUAUGGCAUGGGGCAAAUUAAAUGGCUCAGGAAGUAACGUUCAUGGGCUCACAAACUGAUGACACUGAAUACAUUUUUGUAAUAUUAAUUUCAAAAGUUAUGUUUCCAUACAAAACCAGACUAUCCAUUUUUGCAUCUAGAUGACAGAUAGAUGAUAGAUGAUAGAUAGAUAGAUAGAUAGACAGACAGAUAGAUAUAGAUAAUUUAUACCCCAACCAUUCCAGGUGGUUUCCAACAAAAUAUUUAAAAUACAUUAAAACAUCAGUCAUUAAAACUUUCCUAAACAGUACUGCCUUCAGAUGCCUUCUAAAAGUCAGAUAGUUGUUUAUUUCCUUGACAUCUGAUGGGAGGGCGUUCCACAGGGCGGGCACCACCACUGAGAAGGCCCUCUGCCUGGUUCCCUGUAACCACAAUUCUCGCAGUGAGGGAACCGCCAGAAGGCCCUCAGUGCUGGACCUCUGUGUCCGGGCUGAAUGAUGGGAUGGAGAUGCUCCUUCAGGUAUACUGGGCCGAGGCCGUUUAGGGCUUUAAAGGUCAGCACCAACACUUUCAAUUGUGCUCGGAAAUGUACUUUUUGUGCACAGUACAACCCACUCCCCAAAUACUAAAACAUAUAGAAUUUUAAAGUCAAGGAGACUGGCUCUAAGCAUAAUCAUGCUUAGAGUGAACUUCCGUUGAUCUAAACCCUGUUGAUUUCCAUGGGUCUCCUCCAGGAUUGGGAUGCAGGUGGCACUGUGGGUUAAACCACAGAGCCUAGGACUUGCCGAUCAGAAGGUCAGCGGUUCAAAUCCCCGUGACAGGGUGAGCUCCCGUUGCUCGGUCCCUGCUCCUGUCAACCUAGCAGUUCGAAAGCACGUCAGAGUGCAAGUAGAUAAAUAGGUACCACUCCGGCAGGAAGGUAAAUGGCGUUUCCAUGCACUGCUCUGGUUCGCCAGAAGCAGCUUAGUCAUGCUGGCCACAUGACCCGGAAGCUGUAUGCCGGCUCCCUCGGCCAAUAAAGCGAGAUGAGCGCCGCAACCCCAGAGUCGGUCACGACUGGACCUAAUGGUCAGGGGCCCCUUUACCUUUACCUCCAGGAUUGGAGAAACGUUUUCAGACUGAGGACCACAUUUCCUUGUGAGCAACCUUCAAGAUGCUGCAAGCCAGUGGCAGGUGGAGCAAUGGGUGUGGCUCUCAAAUUUUUACAGUAGGCUACAUUCCAGCAACACAAGUGUCUAUGAUUUCUACGCACACACGCACACACGCACACGCACACAUGCACACACGCACACAUAGAUACAUGCACACAAGCUACCCAUAUCUCUCCUUCUUGCAUCUGGACAAGCAAAUGGCAUUAUUACAUUCCAGCGGGGCAAAAGUACUAAUGAAGAUGCAGUUAAUAAGGAGUGCGGCCUGUGGAGAGGAGGUGUGACUUGGGAAGAAAGGGUGUGGUUAGAGGGGGCCUGCCUGGAGAGAGAGACUGCAUUUGGCUCCCAGGCCUGAGAUUCCCCACCCCCGGUCCACUCUAAGCAUGGCCAGGUCUGGAUCGAAGUUUGUCAUGAAAAAGGAUAUUACUUACCGUAUUUUUCUGCGUAUAAGACGAUGGUUUUUUAUUAUAAAAAAUGCAAAAAAAGGGGGGGUCGUCUUAUAUACAGAUAGUGCAGAGGGGGGACAUGCAAUUGGUGGCAGCCACGAGCAGGAGAUUGUCAGCGGCGAUUGGUCAUGUGAAUGGUGGCUGUAGCAAGACCUGCAAGCGAUAGGCUGCUGCUGCAGCAAUUGGGUGGGUGAUUGGCGGCUGCUGGCGGCAAGCAGGCAGACCAUUGGUUUCUUCUGCGAGGCGUGCGAUUGGCAGCGGUGGUCUUGCGGGUGAGCGAUUCUCGGCAAUCCCCCCACCAACAAAGCUCAACAACUCUGGGCAAUCUUCCCCCAUUUCCUUAAUUUGGGGUCCCCAAAAAUAGGGGUCAUCUUCACAGGUGUGUGUGUUAUACACGGAAAAAAACGAUACUUAAUUAAUAUACUGCUUAAUGCCAAACUUCGAUCCAGACUGACUUGAAUCCAAGUAAGUGCCAGUCAAAUUUUGAGAUUCUGUUUGAAAGAAACAGUGUUGGUAGAACUAAAAGAAAAACCUCAGAAUUAAGGACACAUUUUAGUACACAAUAUCAGUUGGUAUGCAGUGUACCUAUAACACAUUUAACAAGUGCAGUUGUGGGCUAGCAAUGGUGGCGAUGGGCUUAUGGCAAACCUCAGAUGUACAUAACCUACUGCACACUUAGCGGAAAGCAAAGAGCAAACAUGCAAACCUCAUAAAAAAAGGCAAAUAAAACCCCACCUUGCAUUCCACAGGCUGCCUAACACCCAAAGUUCAUGGCACACAAUCCAGCCAAAGCUGAGCACCGUCAAUUUUUAUGGAUUUCAUUGGAUCAAGAUUAAUCACAGGUUUUGUUCUCCCAUAGAAAUCAAUAGGGCUUCACCUAUGGAAAAGUGAUGGAGCCGAAGAACUACCGACAAAAGAAGAAUGGCAGACGAAAUUAAUG